GGUGGGUGGAUGGAUGGAUAGAUGGAUGGAUGGAUGGGUGAAAGUGAACUCUAUCGAGGAAGGAAUGAUUGAAUGGGUGAGUGGGUGACCGGCUGAGUAGGUGAGCAGAUACAGGGAAUGGGUGAAUGGAGGGAUGGGUGGAUGGUAGGACUGAUAGAUGAGUGAAGAGGUGGGGAAGGGAGGGGUCUGUGGAUGGGUGGACGCUUGGGCAGAUGGAUGGAGGAAAGACAGGCGGUGUGUGGGUAGCAGGUAGAUAGACAAAGUGCAGGCGGGUGGGUGAGUGCGGCGUGUGGGAGUGUGUGGAAGAGAGACGAGGGAGUGAGUGGAUGCGUGCAUAGAAGAGCGGGCAGGUAGGCGGGGGGCGAGCCUGGGCGGUUUAGUGAUGAGCGCUCAGACGGGUGAAGGGAUAGGUAAGUGAGUGGAUAGUAAAAGAAUGGACAGAGAGCUGGAUAAAUAUUUGGGUUAGCUAGAAAAGCAGGCUCAUUCAUUUAGCAGGAGCCCUGGGUUUAGAAGAGACGAUCAGGCCAGCGGACAGAAGAGCAGGUAGUAGAAUCCAGACCCAGUCACGCAGGAUCAUCCAACAGUUCACAUUAGGGUACUCUUGCGAUACAGUCUUAUUUCCAUCAGAGCGCUCAGCCCCAGGGUGAAGGAGGGAGGAAGAACCCCAAGCAGGGCUGGACGUACACAGGCGUCUGGAACAGUGCCUGGUAGUUAGCGAGUGCUGUCGGGCGGCUGCAACGAGUGUGGACAUCAGGGUUGCUUCUGCCUAGAGAACGCGCACCUGCUAGUGAGUGCCAGGCAGGGCAGGAGCGCUGUCCAGGUGUCAUCUCACGGGCCCGCCCUGCGACACGGGUCCUGUCCUUGUCCCCACCUUGCUAGUGACUGUGAUUAUGAUCACCAGAUGUGGUAAAAGAGGAACGGGCGGGGCGAAGCCCGGAGUCCAAACUGACAGGGAAAAUCCCUGCGGCUGCCGCAGCUUCCUCCGAGCAAGGCCACAGCACAGAGCAGGUGCCACGGCGACAUCAGCUCAGGGGUGCAGCACCCUUCGCGGAGCCUCUGCCCCGCCCCUGCCUCGUCCGGCAGUGUUCCUGCCCCGAUCUGGGGUGUGGGGGUAAUUACCUUGCUCCACAUCCAGAUAUGCCAAAAAGCCCAAGUCAGCCGCCAGUGGGAUUAUAAAUAAAUGAUGGCUGCUAUCAGAGUCCGAGAGAAAAGGAGCUCUGACUUCAACGCUGUGUCCCUUGGCAGCACCUCACAGAGGGAAUCUCACUUGCAUUUACAUGGGUGAAUUGGGUGCCAACUUCACUGGGCCUCAAGGAAAAAAAUCUCAGUCCCUCUCAGUGGGGGUCCGUCCAGAGGCCUGAGCAGAGAUCACGGCCUGCUAGUCAGGUGACCGGGAAUGUGGCUGCCCACCUGCUGGCCGGCCACUGUUUCCUCCACAAGCUAGCCGUGUCUUUAAAAAGGUAACUAACACCAGUUUAGCUGACACGGGGCCUGGAAAUGGUCUAACAUUUGGGGGGACAAGAGAGUUAUUUUUGGCUAUCCUGGUCACCUUUGUCUUCCUGCCUUUGAAUAUGAUUCUGUGAACACUGAUGCCUGGCACGAUAGCAGCUAUUUUGUGACCAUGAAGCACCAUGCCUGGAACAAAAAGCCCAUGUGUUGAGAAAGGCAGAGGGAAAGACUGGAAGCAAUCUGACUCCUUCGUAAUGUAGUUGAGCGGCUAAAUGAACUUUCCUCCCUUCUCCUCCUGUUUCUGAGAGUUCAUUAGCCAUUCUUACAUGAAAUGAGCAAUAGAGACCAGCUCCUGCUCUUGCGUACUCUACAGCCUAUCAGAUAUUAAGGGCUAACAUGAUAAGGCACUUUUUAUAAAUUCCUCAUAAUAACCCUGUAAAUCAGAUCCUAUGUUACCACCCCAUUUUACAGAGAGAAAAUUGAGGCUCAGAGAGGCUAAACCACUCGUCCAAGGUCAAAGUAAGUAAGGCACUGGUCAUUUUGACUCCAGAACCCUCUCUCUGUGCCACAGGCCACGCUGCCGUCCUGAGUGGACAAAUGGACGAGCAUACGGGGCUGUUUGCUGACAGGUGACGGUGCUGUGCGCUGCCUGCAUUUCCACAAUCCAGGCUGAUCCAGAUAUUCUUUGUCCGACUCUGGAGGGUGGAAGCCAGUGCCUUCAGGAGCCUGCUACUCGGGAAGCUCUCAAGACCCAGCUGUCCAACUUGACAUGAAUGAGCCUUCCCUCUGUCUGCGGGCAGCUGCACGAGCGCCGGAUGUUUGUGUUUGAUCCGCAGCUGUAUCUCAGAUGCCUGUCGUGGAGCCUUGCACACAGCAGGCGCUCACACAGGCAGCUGCCGCCGCCGCCGCCUAGCAAGAGGAGGAG